ACGGAAGGCAGCAGCUAAGAAUAUUCCGCAAUGGGCGAAAGCCUGACGGAGCGACGCCGCGUGGGCGAUGGAGGCCGGAAGGUUGUAAAGCCCUUUUUGCCCCGGCGAAGGAGUCCCGCAGGGAAUGGCGGGGCGGCGACGGUAGGGGCUGAAUAAGCGACGGCUAAUUACGUGCCAGCAGCCGCGGUAACACGUAAGUCGCGAGCGUUGUUCGGAAUCAUUGGGCGUAAAGGGCGCGCAGGCGGGCCGGCAGGCCUGGCGUGAAAGGUCGGGGCUCAACCCCGUCUUGCGCCGGGAACCGCCGGCCUGGGGUCGCCGAAGCGGCGGCGGAAUUCCGGGUGUAGGGGUGAAAUCUGUAGAUAUCCGGAAGAACACCGAAGGCGAAGGCAGCCGCCGGGCGGACGACCGACGCUGAGGCGCGAAGGCAUGGGAAGCGAACAGGAUUAGAUACCCUGGUA
rnacentral:rRNA from 1 species